AUUGAACGCUGGCGGCGUGCUUAACACAUGCAAGUCGAUCGGUAACGCGGGGGCAACCCUGGCGACGAGAGGCGGACGGGUGAGGAACGCUUGGGAAUCUGCCCUUCAGCGGGGGACAACCCGGGGAAACUCGGGCUAAUACCGCAUACGCUCUAUGGAGGAAAGCCGGGGACCGCAAGGCCUGGCACUGAAGGACGAGCCCAAGUCGGAUUAGCUAGUUGGCGGGGUAACGGCCCCCCAAGGCGACGAUCCGUAGCUGGUCUGAGAGGACGAUCAGCCACACCGGAACUGAGACACGGUCCGGACUCCUACGGGAGGCAGCAGUGGGGAAUAUUGGACAAUGGGGGAAACCCCGAUCCAGCGACGCCGCGUGGGUGAAGAAGGCCUGCGGGUUGUAAAGCCCUUUCGGUAGGGACGAAAGCUCUUGCCUUAAUACGGCAGGAGGUUGACUUAACCUACAUAAGAAGCACCGGCUAACUCUGUGCCAGCAGCCGCCGUAAUAC
rnacentral:rRNA from 1 species